UAUGUAACAUUCUACCCCUGACAGCACUUGCUUUCCGAAGGAGGCACAUGGAUUUCUAAUGUCCUCAGAAAAAGGCAGCAGGCCAAUCAAGGUUAGAAAGCUCCAGCAUCCGUAAAAUCUAACCAUAGAAACCACCACAAGCAGUCACCAAGCACCUUCCGGAUUUGGUGCUCUGACUGCCGAAUAAAAACUGUUUUCAGCCUUUAUGCCUAUAUCUAGUGAACUGUAACGGUAGAAAUUUCAGAUCCACACAACCCCAGCGAUCUGGGACAAAACUCUGUUUAAACAAGAUUCUCAAACUGUGGUCCAUGGAUCACCUAUGGCAUCAGGCUUCCUAGGAGUCCUUGGAAUCGGGUCAGGAUUUAAAACCUACACUAAAGCUGACACACUGGAUUAAGAGAAAUGAGGUGCAGAAAUCCACUUGCUUUGUGAAAUUUCACUGUGCUUUGAAAAUCACUAGGCCUGACCCACUAUUUGGCUUUGCUGACAUAGCGCCUGUUUUUCCUUGUGGGGUCCUCCAAGAAAGCUCUCAGCAGUGUAAAGAUGUAUUUUUUUAAAAAAAGAGGAUGGAGGGACGCUAUCUAUUAAGUUUGGCCCCCGAAUGAACGUGCCUCAUUUCAGAGUCAUGAAUUCCUUCAUACAAAUUUAUGCUAGUGUUAUUUCCCACUGUAUAAUACUCUAAGCACAUCUUCACGGUUAAGUAGGUGGAUUAUAUGGUGUACUUUCCACUAAUCUUAAGCUGUCUGUCAUUCUGAGACAGACAUUCCGGCCUGGUCUAUUUUCCUUCUCCUUUUCUCUCAGUCAACACAGCUUUUAUAAGUAUAAUGGGUGCUUACUCUAGGAAUAUGGUGACUCCCAAACUACACAGAAAAAUCUGGUGAGCUUUUAUUAAACUUCCAAAUUCACAAAGAAUCCCCAAGGCAUCUCUACAGGAUGUCUGGUUUGUGGGGCAUCUCAGAAUCAAUGAGUUUCUUAAGAAUGGUUAAAUGGCAAAUGUUUUACUGUAUUUCACCAAAACGAAGAAAAAUACUAGAGGAGAAGUAAUUUGACUACCUGUGAGAGUGAACCAAGAAAGAGGGAACUUGGGGCUUGGGAAGAAUGAAGCCCAGCUCAACCACAAUGCAGAAAGGAUUCUCAGGACAAUGGUGAGAUUGGACACCAUGGGGCAGCUGUGCAGUGGAAAUGGACAGCAGCCCUCCCAGACUGCCAUGAUGAGGGUUUGGGGAAAUGCAUCUCCAACCAAAUAAAAGCAUAGUGGUUUGGCCUAAGCCCGGCAGCCAACUGAGAGGGAACAUAGGGCUAAAAAGAACAGUUGCAUAAAAGCCUAAGCAAGUAAAUGGAACCUAAGUAUGCUAUUCCUGGGCAGACUAGACUUGGGACAGGAAGGGCCAUCUUGGUCAUCUUUAACAUUGCACCCUCAGUGAUUAAUUUAAUACACCUAGUCAUGAUAGUGAGAUAGUAACUAGUGAUCCCACCAAUUUUAUAACAAAAUUGCAUCAAGAAGAAGGGACAUAAAAGGGGGGAUGGGAAGAAAUAUGCUCAAAACACAUUAUGUACCUGUGUGGAAAUGUCAUAGGGAAAUAAAACCUAUACGAUUAACAUAACCAGUCACUUUUUAAAGAAGUGGGAGCUGGAAAGAUGGCCCAGCAGACAAAGAAAGACGUCCGUGCAAGCUGGAACCCACAUGUGAAAGAAAGAACCCCUGCUCCUGAAGACAGCCCAUGGUACACAAGUGGGUACAUGCUCAAACACACACACAAUCAGUCAAUGCAACCCGAAGUUUGAACAAGAAGACAGGGCGAGCACUGGGCACCAAGGUGAGCAGGAAUGUAUUUCAAAUUGUAAGAAGAAAAGCCAAACUCUUCCUGAAAGGCUAGGAGAUACACUUGGAUUUGUUUUCCUCACCGUGCUGUUAGCUCCCGUCAGUGAGGGGCACAGCUGUUGGAAAGAGUCUUCAGGGAGCCUCCAGCAAGACUCAAUCCAAGCAGAAGCUGGGAAGAGCCUUCAUCCAGUAGCCGAUGGAAGCAGAAACAGAAGCAGGCACCCACAGCUAAGCCA